UGAAUAGGGUCUUCCAAAUCCAGACUCCAGGC
rnacentral:piRNA from 1 species